CAUUUUGAAUACUGGGAAAGAAUGUGGGGAUGAAAAUUCAUCUCCACAAAUGCAUGUUGGUAGUGCUGCCACCAAAGUGUUUGUUUGCCCUGUUGUUGCUAAUUUUGAGUUUGAAUUGCAGCUCUCCCUUAUUUGUAAAGCUUGUGGUCAUGCUGUUCUCAAGGUAGAACCUAAUAAUUAUCUCUCCAUCAACCUGCACCAAGAAACAAAACCACUUCCUUUGUCCAUUCAGAAUUCUUUAGAUCUUUUCUUUAAAGAAGAAGAGCUUGAAUAUAACUGUGAGAUGUGUAAGCAGAAGAGUUGCGUUGCAAGGCGUACAUUUAGUAGGCUCUCCAGGGUCCUUAUCAUUCAUCUGAAACGCUAUAGCUUCAACAAUGCUUGGUUGCUGGUGAAGAAUAACGAGCAAGUUUAUAUUCCCAAAUCUUUAAGUUUAUCUUCUUAUUGCAAUGAAAGCACCAAACCACCUCUUCCCUUGAGCAGUAGUGCACCUGUUGGGAAAUGUGAAGUCCUGGAAGUCUCUCAGGAGAUGAUUUCUGAGAUCACCAGCCCAUUGACACCAUCAAUGCAGCUGACCUCAGAAUCCAGUGAUUCCCUGGUUCUACCCAUUGAACCAGACAAGAAUGCUGACCUACAAAGAUUCCAGAGAGACUGUGGAGAUGCAAGCCAAGAGCAGCAUCAGAGAGACCUGGAAAAUGGCUCUGCACUAGAGUCAGAAUUGGUCCACUUUAGAGAUAGGGCAAUCGGUGAAAAGGAGCUUCCAGUGGCUGACUCACUGAUGGACCAGGGAGACAUUUCUCUUCCUGUGAUCUAUGAAGAUGGAGGGAAGCUGAUCAGCAGCCCAGACACAAGGCUUGUCGAGGUUCAUCUUCAAGAGGUGCCUCAACAUCCAGAACUUCAGAAGUAUGAGAAAACCAAUACAUUCAUAGAGUUCAAUUUUGACAGUGUCACUGAGUCCACCAAUGGCUUUUAUGACUGUAAAGAAAACAGGAUUCCAGAAGGAUCUCAAGGAAUGGCUGAACAGCUCCAGCAGUGUAUUGAGGAGAGCAUCAUAGAGGAAUUUCUUCAGCAGGCACCACCUCCAGGUGUUAGGAAGCUGGAUGCCCAGGAACAUACAGAAGAGACCCUCAAUCAGUCUACAGAAUUAAGACUUCAAAAGGCUGACCUGAAUCACCCUGGGGCACUGGGUUCUGACAACCCAGGAAACAAAAACAUUUUAGAUGCAGAGAACACAAGAGGUGAAGCCAAGGAACUCACAAGAAACGUGAAGAUGGGGGAUCCUCUCCAGGCCUACAGACUCAUCAGUGUUGUCAGCCAUAUUGGGAGCUCCCCAAAUUCAGGCCAUUACAUCAGCGAUGUGUAUGACUUUCAGAAGCAGGCCUGGUUCACAUACAACGAUCUAUGUGUAUCAGAAAUCUCAGAGACCAAAAUGCAGGAGGCGAGGCUUCACUCUGGGUAUAUCUUCUUUUACAUGCACAAUGGGAUUUUUGAGGAGCUGUUAAGAAAAGCAGAGAACUCUCGGCUACUUAGCACACAGGCAGGGGUGAUCCCUCAGGGGGAAUAAGAAGGUGACUCUUUGUACAGACCUGCUUGACAGACUCACCCGGCCUCACUUCAUCCUUGCAAAGAGAAUCCUGUACUUCACUCAGAAUGAAGGAACAAGUAUCUCAGGACGAAAGCUCAAUGAAAAACACUUAUUUUGGGGGAAUAUCUAUUUUAACUGCUUCAGACACCUAGAUCCCAGAACUCAGGCGCAUAUGCAUAUUUUCCCUGCCAGAUUAGAAUGGUGCUCUUCACGUUUUGACAGUGGUUUUCAAAAUGUUGUUCUUCAACCAGCAACAGCAGCAGCUAGGGACUGAUUAGAAAUGCAGAUUCUUGGGUCACUCUCCAGACCAACUGAUGCAGAAACAGGAGGUGUGAGCCAGCAAUCAGAUGGAGAUUCUAGUGCUCAGGAAAGUUUGAAGAACACUGGUAAUGUGUGGAGUAUCUUGGUGUAUUCUGUCUCUACAAAAAAUAAUUCAGCAGCCAGGCACGGUGGCUCACACCUGUAAUCCCAGCACUUGGGAGGCCAAGGCAGGCGGAUCACCUGAGGUCGGGAGGUUGAGACCAGCCUGACCAACAUGGUGAAACUCUGUCUCUACUAAAAAUAGAAAAUUAGCUGGGCGUGGUGGCAGGCACCUGCAGUCCCAGCUACUCAGGAGGCUGAGGCAGGAGAAUCACUUGAACCCAGGAGAUGNNNNNNNNNNNNNNNNNNNNNNNNNNNNNNNNNNNNNCAGCCUGGGCAACAAGAGCAAAACUCCAUUUCUAAAUAAAUAAAUAACUUUGCCAGGCAUUUCUCAGCUACUCAGGAAGCCUAUGUGGGAGGAUCACUUGAGUCUGGGAGUUCAAGGCUGCAGUGAGCUAUGAUCGCACUACUGCACUCCAGCCUGGGUGAAAGACCCUGUCUCAAAAAAAAAAAAAAAAAAAAAAAAAAAGGCGGCGGGGGGAUGGUCUACCUUGGUGUGUCUGCUGCAGUGAGAGGGUCAGGGUAUGGGGUUUAUAUAAGUUUAUAAGGAAUUUGGUCAAGGGCGGAGACUAGUUUCUUUUAGUGUUUUGGGCAACAACCUAAACCUAAAUACCUCUAUCAGUGCCUGGGAAUGUUUCAGGCUCUGGUUUGGAUUCAAGCCUUCUGGGAAAAGCCUGCAGCUUGGCUGGUCAGAGUGGUCAAAGCACUCCAUGAUUUUCAGUCACGACACAGAAAGAAAGCAGGGGGUGAGUACUUUUCCUUUGUAAAGUUAUUAAAAUAAUAACCCAACCCAUACAUAUACCAUUGGCUAGCUUCCACAUGUGUUUAUGACUGGUUACUAGUAAAAUUUGCUAUGCAGCAAUCAACUGUUAUUUACCAUUUUCCAGGAAUUUCAGGGCAUAACAUCAGGGUUAUAUGCAAAAUGCAGUAUACUAAAUAUCCGUGUGAUUUUGUGAAUUCAAAAGCACUGCAAGAUGUCGCUCAUGUUAUUAAUAUGAAUAAGACGAUAAACCCAUCCUCAUAAAUGUACAUUUCCUGGCAGCCAAGCCUUAAACAGCUUAUAAUGUACCCAGUAUCAGUGGGCGAUGUGUUAGACUGUGAAUUCAGCAAGGAGUAAAGAACGAUUUUUUUAAAUGGCCAUGUGAGUAGACAAAUGGAAGUUGAGAGGAUUUUUUGGGUAAAAAGAGAUAAGAGCCUGGUAUUAUAUAAGGAAUGGGGCAAAAUUAGGCAGAGUAGGUGUGGGAAAGAAGAGAAGAGCAACCAGAAACAUACGUACGAGGUUUUUAAAAAUACAUUAUUUUUAGCAUUUAAGAGGAAAAGAAGGAAAGUACUAUGAAAAAAGAAAUGUAGGCCGGGCGCGGUGGCUCAUGCCUGUAAUCCCAGC
rnacentral:lncRNA from 1 species